rnacentral:rRNA from 1 species
UACGUAGGGGGCAAGCGUUAUCCGGAUUUACUGGGUGUAAAGGGAGCGUAGACGGUGAAGCAAGUCUGAAGUGAAAGGCAGGGGCUUAACCCCUGAACUGCUUUGGAAACUGCCAUGCUAGAGUGCUGGAGAGGUAAGUGGAAUUCCUAGUGUAGCGGUGAAAUGCAUAGAUAUCACGCAGAACUCCGAUCGCGAAGGCAGCAUACCGGCGCCCGACUGACGCUGAAGCACGAAAGCGUGGGUAUCGAACAGG